UCUCUCUCUCUCUCUCUCUACUUUGUUCUUUUAGUUUUUUUCAUUUGGUUGUCUUGCUUCUUUAGUCUCCAAUUGCGGAGUUAGUACCCCUCUUUGGAUGGGGUCUUUUGACGGGUGUCUUUUGUACCCGCUUUGCAAGCUUGUUUCAUAUGUUGGUAAGGCCUUUUCAAGGAAGCAAGAGAUCUCCCCAUAGUUUUCUGGUGGUCAGAAAUCUGACCAAGUUUUUGUGAGGAUUUUGAGGGUGAUACGGUUGUUGCUUUGACGCUUGAAGGGAGCUCUCUGCUCCUCCCUAGAAUCACCUUUCCUUUAAAAGGAGCUCUGUAAUCUUGCGCUGGGCUAUUUAACCGCUGAUCUUUUCUUUCAUAUGUAAUCUUGCCUAUUGGGCUUUAAUGAAAUAUUUCCCCAUUUAAAGAAAAAAGAAUUUCAUGCAUAAAUGGUUAAUUUGUAUCCAUUCCAUGGGC
rnacentral:misc_RNA from 1 species